UGGCAACCGCCCCGUCUGAGAAGUGA
rnacentral:piRNA from 1 species